rnacentral:misc_RNA from 1 species
AGGUAGGAAGUUUAGAAAUCAUAUGGAAAUGUUCUUGGGUGGUUGACUGGUUUAGAAAUCAUAAUCAGAGAAAACAAGUGUCUUGGAAAACUGGAAUCAAAUGGCACUGGUGAGCAAGUGAGUAACAGCAAUAAUCUGAUCAGACAAUACUGAAAAAGCAAAAACAAAGUGUACGUUUCAGGAUCAAAUGGCACUGGUGAGCAAAGAUACUUGGCAGAUGGCAGCAAAAAAUGAAAGCAUAUUAAACAUCCAUAGCAAAGGGAAAACGAAACUGCUUAUCAAAUGACAAGUGAGAAGAAGUUCUCUACAAGGUACCUUUCCCCCAAGCAACCAAAGAAGAAGAUUCUGAUUCCCCUUUCCCUGGCUAAGCACUGAUUAGGAGAUAGAAGCUAAAAAUGAAAGUAAAUGAAAAAAAACUGCCAGCUGCAACUGGG